rnacentral:rRNA from 1 species
CAGCCGCCGCGGUAAUACGUAGGUCCCGAGCGUUGUCCGGAUUUAUUGGGCGUAAAGCGAGCGCAGGUGGUUUAAUAAGUCUGAUGUAAAAGGCAGUGGCUCAACCAUUGUGUGCAUUGGAAACUGUUAGACUUGAGUGCAGUAGAGGAGAGUGGAAUUCCAUGUGUAGCGGUGAAAUGCGUAGAUAUAUGGAGGAACACCGGUGGCGAAAGCGGCUCUCUGGACUGUAACUGACACUGAGGCUCGAAAGCGUGGGUAGCAAACAGG